UGGCGGACGGGUGAGUAACGCGUGGAAAACCUGCCGUAUACUGGGGGAUAACACUUAGAAACAGGUGCUAAUACCGCAUAAGCGCACAGCUUCGCAUGAAGCGGUGUGAAAAACUCUGGUGGUAUACGAUGGUUCCGCGUCUGAUUAGCUAGUUGGUGGGGUAAUGGCCUACCAAGGCAACGAUCAGUAGCCGGCCUGAGAGGGUGAACGGCCACAUUGGGACUGAGACACGGCCCAAACUCCUACGGAAGGCAGCAG
rnacentral:rRNA from 1 species